rnacentral:rRNA from 1 species
UACGUAGGUGGUAAGCGUUGUCCGGAUUUACUGGGCGUAAAGGGCGUGCAGGCGGCCCGUUAAGUGCAUGGUGAAAGCUCCCGGCUCAACUGGGAGAGGUCUGUGUAUACUGGCGGGCUUGAGGGGGGUAGAGGAAAGUGGAAUUCCCGGUGUAGUGGUGAUAUGCGUAGAUAUCGGGAGGAACACCUGUGGCGAAGGCGGCUUUCUGGGCCCUACCUGAC